rnacentral:rRNA from 1 species
AGCGAACGCUGGCGGCAGGCCUAACACAUGCAAGUCGAACGAACCCUUCGGGGUUAGUGGCGGACGGGUGAGUAACACGUGGGAACGUGCCUUUAGGUUCGGAAUAACUCAGGGAAACUUGUGCUAAUACCGAAUGUGCCCUUCGGGGGAAGGAUUUAUCGCCUUUAGAGCGGCCCGCGUCUGAUUAGCUAGUUGGUGAGGUAAUGGCUCACCAAGGCUACGAUCAGUAGCUGGUCUGAGAGGAUGACCAGCCACAUUGGGACUGAGACACGGCCCAAACUCCUACGGGAGGCAGCAGUGGGGAAUCUUGCGCAAUGGGCGAAAGCUUGACGCAGCCAUGCCGCGUGGAUGAUGAAGGUCUUAGGAUUGUAAAAUCCUUUCACCGGUGAAGAUAAUGACUGUAGCCGGAGAAGAAGCUCCGGCUAACUUCGUGCCAGCCGCCGCCGUAAGAC